ensembl:lncRNA
CCGUUUCGGUCUCCUGGCUCUGAUACGCAAGACGCUGGAGGUGACAUCACCCUUGUUAGCGAGACCAAAAACCAACACACAAAACAUCAAGAGCUGGAACCAAGUACAUCAGUCCUGGGAGGCUUAGCUCACACACGAUGGCAGAUUUAAACUGUAGAAAUAUAUUCACCAUCGAUGGCUUGAUGUUCGUGGUGUUCACGCUAAAUGUGUGUGUGUGUGUGUUUUAUUUGUGCACCUUCACAUUGCUUUGAACAGUAUCCACAUUACAUACUGUAUUAUAAUAGGAAUGGUUUGGUGAAAAAUCAAACUUACUCUAAAUGCAGUGGAUUAGAAUAGUGGUUGGUGUCCAACAACUAAAAUGCUACUUUUGGCUGCUUUGGCUGUAACUAUAACAAUGUUCUUAUUGUUAAGACGUGACUGGUGAUGAGGUAAAGAUUGGUGCGACUGUGGUGAUGAGGUAAAGAUUGGUGCGACUGGUGAUGAGGUAAAGAUGGUGAUGAGGUAAAGAUUGGUGUGUCUCUGGGGAUGAGGUAAAGAUUGGUGCGACUCUGGUGAUGAGGUAAAGAUUGGUGCGUCUCUGGGGAUGAGGUAAAGAUUGGUGCGACUGUGGUGAUGAGGUAUAGAUUGGUGUGACUGGUGAUGAGGUAACGAUUGGUGCGACUGUGGUGAUGAGGUAAAGAUUGGUGCGACUCUGGUGAUGAGGUAAAGAUUGGUGCGACUGGUGAUGAGGUAAAGAUGGUGAUGAGGUAAAGAUUGGUGUGUCUCUGGGGAUGAGGUAAAGAUUGGUGCGUCUCUGGGGAUGAGGUAAAGAUUGGUGCGUCUCUGGGGAUGAGGUAAAGAUUGGUGUGACUGGUGAUGAGGUAAAGAUCGCUGCGACCCUGGUGAUGAGGUAUAGAGUGGUGCAUCUCUGAGGAUGAGGUAAAGAUUGGGGUGACUCUGGUGAUGAGGUAAAGAUUGGUUCUACUCUGGUGAUGAGGUACAGAUUGGCGUGACUCUGGGGAUGAGGUAAAGAUUGGGGUGACUCUGGUGAUGAGGUAAAGAUUGGUGCUACUCUGGUGAUGAGGUAAAUAUUGGUGCGACUCUGAGGAUGAGGUAAAGAUUGGUGCUACUCUGGUGAUGAGGUAAAGAUUGGUGUGACUGGUGAUGAGGUAAAGAUCGCUGCGACCUUGGUGAUGAGGUAUAGGGUGGUGCAUCUCUGAGGAUGAGGUAAAGAUUGGGGUGACUCUGGUGAUGAGGUAAAGAUUGGUUCUACUCUGGUGAUGAGGUAAAGAGUGGCGUGACUUUGGUGAUCAGGUAUAGAUUGGUGCGUCUCUAGGGAUGAGGUAAAGAUCACUGCGACCCUGGUGAUGAGGUGACGAUUGGCGUGACUCUGGUGAUGAGGUGAAGAUCGGCGUGACGCUGGUGAUGAGGUAAAGAUUGGGGUAAAGAUUGUCACAUUGUGCUUUUCUGAAAACCUUUUACCAGAGCUCCACUACACUUCCCCUAGGUUUGAAGAAUCCGUGAGGCUGCCCCAUCAAAACAUUUCUGGAGGCUGGAUGUCAUGCUGUUCUUUGAUCUUAAAUGUGUAAAAGCAGAUUAUUUCUGUUUCCAUAAAAACGGUUGUAUGCAUGUAAAGAUGUGGGCGUGUGUUUAUUUAAAAUGUUUCAAGUGAGGCAGACGAACGUCACACAGUAACUUCGUUAAAGGCUUUGGGGCGGGGGGGGCGAGGGGAGACUGUGUACAUUUGAUUUUUCAUCAAACCAUUCCUUUCAAGUAGCCAUAAUGUGUGUAUUAUUUUACUAAACAUGUUAAUGUCUAAUGUUUUUUUUUGGUUGUUGAUUGAUUGAUGUAUAUCUGAGAAAGCAAUUUUUUUUAAACAUCAGCUGUCUGUAAAGUUCUUCUAAUGCCCAGUGCCAGUACAUCUGGUGUAUUUGGUCUUGUCUUCAUACUUUUUAUUUAUAUAGAUCAUAAUUCAUCCAGUUCAGACUCAAAUACUCCUGGAGUCGUUUAGUCUGAAAUGUCCUCAAAAAG